GUUCUAUAUCGAUGAUAAAUUGGAAAAUUGGAAAUCUUUAAUAUUUCAGAAGGUUGUCUAGAUUUGUGACCGAGCUCUGACUUUAUAAUUAUAAAGGUAGAAAAGCUUCGACGCGCGACUACGAGUAUUCUCCAAUAAAUGUCUAUAUAUGUAUCUUCUGCGGGUAUAUUUUGAUACCAUUAUGGAAAGACAGAGGAAGCGGGAAGGCGACGAGGACGAAGAUAAUAAGGCUCUCAAGAAAGAAGGAUGGAGGAUCAUGAUCAAACAAG